CCAGACUCCUACGGGAGGCAGCAGUGGGGAAUAUUGCGCAAUGGGGGCAACCCUGACGCAGCAACGCCGCGUGAUUGAAGAAGGCCUUCGGGUUGUAAAGAUCUUUAAUCAGGGACGAAAAAUGACGGUACCUGAAGAAUAAGCUCCGGCUAACUACGUGCCAGCAGCCGCGGUAAUACGUAGGGGGCAAGCGUUAUCCGGAUUCACUGGGUGUAAAGGGAGCGUAGACGGCGACGCAAGUCUGGAGUGAAAGCCCGGGGCCCAACCCCGGGACUGCUCUGGAAACUGCGUCGCUGGAGUACGGGAGGGGCAGGCGGAAUUCCUGGUGUAGCGGUGAAAUGCGUAGAUAUCAGGAGGAACACCGGCGGCGAAGGCGGCCUGCUGGACCGUGACUGACGUUGAGGCUCGAGAGCGUGGGGAGCAAACAGGAUUAGAUACCCCCGUA
rnacentral:rRNA from 1 species